UUUAUAAGGAAGUGUGUUCAGGUCC
rnacentral:piRNA from 1 species